rnacentral:rRNA from 1 species
UACGAGGGGGGCGAGCGUUGUUCGGAAUUAUUGGGCGUAAAGGGUGCGUAGGCGGUUUGGUAAGUCUUGUGUGAAAUCUACAGGCUCAACUUGUAGUCUGCACGAGAAAUUGCCGGGCUUGAGUGUGGGAGAGGUGAGUGGAAUUCCUGGUGUAGCGGUGAAAUGCGUAGAUAUCAGGAGGAACACCUGUGGCGAAAGCGGCUCACUGGACCAUAACUGACGCUGAUGCACGAAAGCUAGGGGGAGCAAACAGG